AGAAGUUCUUUGUGCUAGGCCUGCGCUGGAUUCACCUCGUUCGAGGGAGAUGGUCAGCUUAGUUAAAUGGGCAAAGGAGUGUCAGACGAACGGACAGUCAAAACGAAUUAUAGAUCCCAAUCUUGUUGGCAAAAUAAGACCAGAUUCCCUCGGGAGGUUUGGAGAAACAGCGGUGAAAUGCUUAGCUGAAACUGGCGUAGACUGGCCAUCAAUGGGUGAGGUGCUGCAGAAACUGGACUAUGCACUUCAUCUCUAAGAGCCUGUCAUUCAAGAAAACACUGCCAUCCCUAUUCGCGAGCAAAUCAAUGAUUUCAGUCAUGUUGAUGACACUUCCUCUGCUGCUUCGGUCAAAAUUGGGCUGAUCUCUAGUAUGAAUGCGUUCAGAUUUUGCUCAAGAAAACAGCCGGGAGAAGUUCAAUUAAUGGUUGCACUCCAUGGGAACCAACUAUUCCAAGCCAACAACUUCCAUAAAUGAUGCUUCCAAUUUGAGUAAUCGCGUUCCUUUUGAAAGUUUUCGAGUUCCUUUUGUAGAUUUGCAGGAAGCAACUAAUAACUUUGAUGACAAGUUUCUGAUUGGAGUGGGUAUAUUUGGUAAGGUUUACAGGGGUGUUUUGCGUGAUGGUACAAAGGUGGCCCUGAAAAGACGUAAGCCUGAGUCUCCACAAGGUAUUGAAGAGUUCCGAACAGAAAUUGAGAUACUCUCACACUGCAGCCAUCCACAUCUGGUUUCACUGAUAGGAUACUGUGAUGAAAGAAAUGAGAUGAUUCUAAUUUAUGACUACAUGGAGAAUGGGAACCUCAAGAGCCAUUUGACUGGCUCAGAUCUACCCUCCAUGAGCUGGGAGCAGAGGCUGGAGAUAUGCAUAGGGGCAGCCAGAGGUCUACACUACCUUCAUACUAACGGAGUUAUGCAUCGUGAUGUCAAAUCUUCAAACAUAUUGCUUGAUGAGAAUUUUGUGGCAAAAAUUACUGAUUUUGGAAUAUCCAAGACAACGCCUGAGUUUGAUCAAACCCAUCUUAGCACAAUGGUGCAAGGAAGUAUAGGCUACAUUGACCCUGAAUAUUUUAUAAGGGGACAACUGACAAAAAAAUCUGAUGUUUAUUCUUUCGGUGUUGUUUUAUUCGAAGUUCUUUGUGCUAGGCCUGCCAUAGGUCGUUCACAUAUGAUCAGUUUAGCUGAAUGGGCAGUAGAGACGCAGAAGAUGGGACAGUUGGAACAAAUUGUAGAUCCCACUAUUGUGGCCAAAAUAAGACCAGAGUCCCUCAGGAUGUUUGGAGAAACGGCAGUGAAAUGCUUAGCUUCAUCUAGUGAAAAUAGGCCAUCAAUGGGUGAUGUGCUGUGGAAACUGGAGUAUGCACUUCAUCUCCAAGAGCCUAUCAUUCAAGAUAAUCCUGAAUGAUUCUUUGUUAGUGGAUCAUGUAGAGAUUUAUUUUUUGUUUUGUUGUAACAGUCUUCAGAGUAAGUGUUUCACAUGUGUGUAUGACUUCUAUUAAGUUCUAAUUGUAAACAGCAAAAUGAAGUUUG
rnacentral:misc_RNA from 1 species